AAUGUUGCAACUGGUUCCUUGCUGAAAACCAAACAAAAUUCAGAUUGCGUCUGAAAUGCAAUCUCACUGGAGAAGCCUGAAGGUCUCAGUGCAAGCUUCUGGGACAAGCUUGUGGGACAAGAUGUACAUGAAAUUAUUUGAAUCAGUGUGUUGUAGGUGUUGGUUUGAUGUGUAGUCUAUACAAUCUGAAUGGUUGUGACCUGAGCUACAGUAGCAUGUUACCAUUGACAACGUGAGCUAAUGCUAAUGGUCUGCUGACUAAUGUACUGAGAACUUAAAAUCAUCUUCUUUAGACUUAGUGGUAAUUGUAGAAAAAGGAAAAAUAUGAAAUUUUAUCAAGAAAAAAUAAAUAUUUGAUUGGUCGGUUGCUCAGUUCCAGGAUGGAAUCUAGCUUGCUUGCUGUUUUGCCAUAAGCCGUUUACAUUUGAUGUAGAGCAGCCACCGUAAGUUCCUCUCCCUUCUCUAAUUAGUAUUGAGAUUUCAUUGAUAUUUGAUGCAUGUCUUUCAGUUUGCACUGUGGAUAAAGUGUAGUGUACGGUCAGUGUUACAAGUAUAAAGUGUAGGCAGAUCAAGAUGCAAGUUUCUUUGGUUUUGACUCCAAGCAUGAAUAUUUUAUAAUUAGAGAGAAGGAUCUUGGGUAAAUAUCUUUGCCUAGAUCAAUGUAGUCAUAUAGGCCGAGUUAUCUUCUAGCAAAAGUAUAGCAAUAAUUUCUUCUUUGUCUAUUCCUCUUUUUUGUUUUUUGUUUCUUUAUGUUAGAAUUGUGUCGAAUAUUAUUGUAUAAGGUAAGUUACAGUUGGAUUUGGUUUUGGACUGUGUGUAGACAGGGUAAAACUUGUGUCCUAAUAGGACACUUGUAUCCUAGACCUCUCAUAUAUAGCAAGGUAGACACACGAUGUAAUCUAUGCCAACAUAAUAGCACAUGUACGCGGGGGAGCCGGCGGCAUGUGCCGGUGCCCGGACGGCCGGGGUGCGGUAUUGUGACGGUGUCACGGGGAGGAGCGCCCGUAGUCAUGCCCCGGAGAUGUAGCCAUGAUGGUGAACCUUGUUAACAAAUCUUGGUGUCAUGCUUGUGUGAUUGCUUGGUCCUCGGUAGAUCGACGGAGCACCUCGGAUUUAUUAUAACAAGUGGUAUCAUGAGCAAUGUUCGAGGAGGUUGCGGAACCAUUGAUUUAGAGGAGAUAACUCGUCAGAUCGGAUCAUGUUUGAUACAGGGAAGCUGCACGCUCGUGAGAGCACUAGGCGUACAUGUCAAGCAGGGAUGGAAGAUCAGCCAACAGAGUUCGGUCGUCGGGGAUGUGGAUAAUCGCAGUCACACGGUUGCAUCGAAGCGACACUGGACGAGGCAGUUGUUGGCGAGAAAUCAAAGAAGUAAUCGAGGGUAGCAACGACUGGUAGCGGUGCUUGCGUUUGACAUCUGGGCGAGAUCGGAUCAUCAGGAACGGCGGCGGCGUGACGCACGUGCAUUGGACGGACCCGGCGACUCAAGCGCGAUUGGCAGGCUGUGGCUGGUACAAGAUUGAGGCCCAUGUGGGCUUCUAUUGUGUGCGGCCCAACGCGGAAGCAAGGAGCGCGCUCGGGCUGGACCUGAGGAGCAAAGUUGGGCACGAGCCAGCGAGGCAAAGGAGGUCCAGGACAGAGGCGCGGGGCAAAGCAGGAUGCCGUGUUGGCUGAACGCGAAGCGAAGACAGAGCUACGUGAGAGAGAUUUGUUUUGAAAAAAAAGGUCGGUUUCUAGGCAUGAAGUGUGGUUGGACAUGGAAGUCGCUGGCUGUUAUCAGAUUGAUUUGAAGUGUGAUUAAGAAAAAAAAAAGAAAC
rnacentral:lncRNA from 1 species